AUUGAACGCUGGCGGCAUGCCUUACACAUGCAAGUCGAACGGCAGCGCGGGGCAACCUGGCGGCGAGUGGCGAACGGGUGAGUAAUAUAUCGGAACAUACCCUAGAGUGGGGGAUAACGUAGCGAAAGUUACGCUAAUACCGCAUACGCACUAAGGUGGAAAGUGGGGGAUUCGCAAGAACCUCAUGCUCAUGGAGUGGCCGAUAUCUGAUUAGCUAGUUGGUGAGGUAAAGGCUCACCAAGGCAACGAUCAGUAGCUGGUUUGAGAGAACGACCAGCCACACUGGAACUGAGACACGGUCCAGACUCCUACGGGAGGCAGCAGUGGGGAAUUUUGGACAAUGGGGGGCAACCCUGAUCCAGCAAUGCCGCGUGAGUGAAGAAGGCCUUCGGGUUGGUUAAAGGACGUCUUUUGUUCUAGGGAAGAACGGUAGAGAGCUAAUAUACUCUUGUC
rnacentral:rRNA from 1 species